UAUGCAUGUUUGCAUCUUUUCUUCUCAUGAAUCUUAUAUCAAGAAAUAUAAUUCAGGAAACAAGUAUUUAGGUGGAGCAAUACCAGUUUUCCAUAAAUAUUAUCCACCAACUGCACUGUAAUUUGAACCAUUCAUUUUUUGUUAAAUGCGUUAACUAGGUGAAUUUUCUCAAAAAAGGCUGCCAUUGUUUUCUAAAACAUUAGUGGGCAUGGCAACGCGCCCCUUUAUGUCCCAGUGUUUACUGUUUGAAAACUUUUUGCGACCACUUCGGUUAGCUACUAGCAAGUAUGCACGUGCGCACACACACAUGCCCACAACAACAAGCAUGCACAUACAACACAACACACAUGGACUGCUCUUGAUUUGUCAAUAGUAUGCUGUCACUUUUCUUUGAUCUUCUCUACCACUGAUUGUUUUUUCAAUACUAAGGGAAGUCGAAGUUUCUGAUUGGUGAUCCUUUUGCUUCAGGAUACUUAAUUGCCUUGCAUUGAGCUUUUAUUCGAACGAGGGAUAAUUGAGUAGUAGCUGAAUUCUCCGGUUGGAUCAAGAAGCAAACAAAAUUAGAAAAAAUUACUUAGCAAUAACUGUAGUUUACAUUCAUAGUUGAAAAAAAUGUAAUAUCAUGCAGAAGAUCUUUUUCUUUGUUUGAAUUGAAGCAAAUGCUAUGAUGUAAUAUUCUUCAUAUAUAUGUUCUUUGUAGUCAAAUUAUAUGAAUGAUAUAUUGUUGGAUCAAUAUUAUUGGUAUUUGUUUAUUGUAA